rnacentral:misc_RNA from 1 species
GAUGAAGAACGCAGCGAAAUGCGAUAAGUAAUGUGAAUUGCAGAAUUCAGUGAAUCAUCGAAUCUUUGAACGCACCUUGCGCUCCUUGGUAUUCCGAGGAGCAUGCCUGUUUGAGUGUCAUUAAUAUAUCAACCUUCUCUUUUUUGAGUUGUUUGGAUGUGGGGGUUUGCUGGCCUCUUAAAUGAUUCAGCUCCCCUGAAAUGCAUUAGCAGAACAACCUGUACAUUAGCGUGAUAAUUAUCUAUGCUAUUGAAUGUGAGGGCAGUUCAGCUUUCUAACCGUCCUUGGACAAUUCAUCAUUAAUGUGACCUCAAAUCAGGUAGGACUACCCGCUGAACUUAAGCAUAUCAAUAAGCGGAGGA